rnacentral:rRNA from 1 species
AAGGAUCAACAAGGAAGGCAGCGCCCCCAGAGCUUGCUCCGUGGCGGGCUACCCUACUUCGGUAGGGUUUAGAGUCGUCGAACCUCUCGAAGAAGUUCGGUCCUGAACUCCACCCUUGAAUAAAUUACCUUUGUUGCUUUGGCAGGCCGCCUCGUGCCAGCGGCUUCGGCUGUUGAGUGCCUGCCAGAGGACCACAACUCUUGUUUUUAGUGAUGUCUGAGUACUAUAUAAUAGUUAAAACUUUCAACAACGGAUCUCUUGGUUCUGGCAUCGAUGAAGAACGCAGCGAAAUGCGAUAAGUAAUGUGAAUUGCAGAAUUCAGUGAAUCAUCGAAUCUUUGAACGCACAUUGCGCCCUCUGGUAUUCCGGGGGGCAUGCCUGUUCGAGCGUCAUUAUAACCACUCAAGCUCACGCUUGGUAUUGGGGUUCGCGGUUUCGCGGCCCCUAAAAUCAGUGGCGGUGCCUGUCGGCUCUACGCGUAGUAAUACUCCUCGCGAUUGAGUCCGGUAGGUUUACUUGCCAUCAACCCCCAAUUUUUUACAGGUUGACCUCGGAUCAGGUAGGGAUACCCGCUGAACUUAAGCAUAUCAUAGCCGGAGGAAAA